GAUGAACGCUAGCGACAGGCUUAACACAUGCAAGUCGAGGGGCAUCGGGACGUAGCAAUACGUUGCCGGCGACCGGCGGAUGGGUGAGUAACGCGUAUGCAACCUGCCCACGACAGGGGGACAGCCCGUUGAAAGACGGAUUAAUACCCCAUAAAACAGGGGUUCCGCAUGGGACUAUUUGUUAAAGGGUUUUCCGCGAGGGGGAUCCGGUUGUGGAUGGGCAUGCGUUCCAUUAGGCAGUUGGUGAGGUAACGGCUCACCAAACCGACGAUGGAUAGGGGAACCGGGAGGUUGGUCCCCCACACUGGUACUGAGAUACGGACCAGACUCCUACGGGAGGCAGCAGUGAGGAAUUUUGGUCAAUGGACGGAAGUCUGAACCAGCCAAGUCGCGUGAAGGAAGGCGGCCCUAAGGGUUGUAAACUUCUUUUGUAAGGGAAUAAAGGCCGGUACGCGUUACCGGUUUGCAGGUACCUUACGAAUAAGGAUCGGCUAACUCCGUG
rnacentral:rRNA from 1 species